CUCCUGCUUUGAUGCCCCCAGGAAAUGUCACAACUCACUCGGUUCUGUGAGCAGGCCCAGCCACAGCUGACCUCUGCCCAGAGCUGACCCUGCCAGAGCAUCCUUGUCCCAUCCCUCUAGGCCCCUGCCUGUGUGCCUGGCCGGUGACAAGGCCAAGUCAGAUGCCCUUCUACUGUGAAGCCUUCCUGGACUCCGUGACAAGAAGUCUGACCAGAAGACGCCCUUCUCAAGGGGAGCAGCUGGGCACUGAGCAAAUGUCGCCCCAGGAUAUGCCUACCUGAGGCCAGGGCCCCGUCCCGGGAGACUCUCAUCCUGGCUGUGGGGCUGGCCUGGCACCAAGAAGUGCUGAAGCUCCACAGGGCAUUCUAUGGCUCCAUCAGGUGGCAGAACCACGGAUGGAGAGUUUUCUAGAUUUGUAUGCUUGCGGGAACUCCCCAGAGUGUCAAAGUACAACUUCAAAGGCUCCUCCACUAGCCCUGGGACGGGGCUGGGGCUCCCUGUUUUUAACAAGCACCCAAGGAGUCUCAGGGUUUGGCACACUUUAAAAGCCCUGCUGUUAUUCAACUGCAAAGAAGGAGCACAGAACUUGGAUCUCUGCCAUUUAUUAGCAGGGGCCACUGGACAAGGUAUGUGACUUCCUUAUUCCUCAGAUUCUUCAACUGCAAAGGGAGGAUAAUCAUGCCUACCUCAAGGGGUUGUUGUGACAGACAACCCGGGGGGAUGGGUGUCAGCGAUCAGCACAGGCGUGGUGACCAUUACUACCGCAGAGCCCUUCUAUCCAGGGGACAGCGUGGACCCUCUCCAACCCCGAAUCGGCUAUAGGGGGAUGAGAUAUGGGUGGGGUGGGCACUCCAGGUAAAGACCUCUACCUUGGGCUGACAACAGAGCUAUGUUUGGUGUCUGGAGCCAUCCAGGUUAUAACUUUGUUGAGAUACAGGCUACCCUGCGGUUGCACAUCGGAUACAAUCAAGUGAUUUGGGAAGACCAGCUGAGCUGCUCCCCAGCCCAGAGCUCCCACAAGGAAAGGACUGAGGGUUCCAUCCGUGGCCCUGGCCCCUGGAGGGACUGCCCAGCAUCCUUAGGUUCUUGGAAACUCACGCUUUGGAGUAGUUCAGAACGAAGUCCACACCCUUCUCACUAUCAAACUGGAUGUCUCGGGGUAGAUCCUUGUGGUAUUUGGCAUCGAUACUCAAGGGGAAGCCAGGGUUCCACUCCAUCCAUCUGAGCAUGAAUAAAAAGAAGAAAACUGUGUAAAAUGCCUGGCCUUUGGGCUGGCCCCUCAGACUAAAGCCUGCCCCUGCGGUCUGAGGAUGUGCCCUCCGUCAGGCCGAGACGUUAUAGCUGAGUGUGCAUCCGUGAGGUACUGGGACCCCUCCAGGGGUCCGGCAGUAGCCUGCUUUGCUGUGCCCUGAGCUUCACAGCAGGAGGUGUGAGGUCCCCUGAACCUGAGACUGGGCUCACAGCAGAGGAGUGGCGAGUGAAGUAGGUGUGCGCCACUGCGUAAAAGGAAGCCGAAAAGGAAGCAUCAGAAGACCUCACCGAUUUGACGGGACAUUCAACUGCCUGUCUCCCUCGGCACAGAGUUGCCUUGCCGGUCACCGGAGGUAGAAAGGGUUGAGGCCGCUCCACUUCCAGGCUGAACUGAACAGCCAGUGUCCCACCAGCUCGGUCAACGUGCCCCUGGACUGUAUGUGGUGGCUGGGGAAAGGGGACAGUGGGCACGCCUUCCAAGUAAGGUGUCCAGGGCAGCACGGUGAUUGGACUUCGGACACAGACUGCUGCCAGUAGCAGGUUUAGUGACUGUUAAAAUCAAAAUAGCUCCCCCCCAAGACAGGCCAUGCACUGUAUCCAGCCCACAUUUUCAGAUACCGGUGUCCUUGAAACUUAUCCUGCAGCAUUGGGCACUUACAUUUUGUUUUUGAGAUUUUGCUGUUUUUUUUUCUUACAGCAAAACCAAAACUAGCCCAAAGUGUCUGUUCCUUUAGGGCAGGGAAAACGAUCUCGUAUUUAUUUAAAAAUCAAAAUUUACAUUCUGGGUUAACAGCUUUUCACUUGUAUUCCUAACUCUCCUUUUCUGAAACCUUUCUCACAACAGAAAGUAACGCACUGAGAGUUGAGGUCAUGAAAAAGUCUGGAGUCCCUUUAAUAUCAUCUUGUGCUAUUACUGUCCCAGAAAUCCCCAUGGUUUUUCAUGCUGUCCUGUUGGCCAGGUAAGACUCCCAUUGGGACCACAAGAGGCGAACAGGAGCUAGGUAUGGUCGCCCGGAGCAAAUGCAUUUUGAAAAACAUUUUCUGUUGCAUGGCACUGUCAUUUAUCACUGUUGGUUUACUUACAGUAUUCCAUUUUCCUGGGCUUUAAGAAAAUCUUCUCUAUUUGUUGUUUGUAUUAACACCAACGCUGAUAAAAUGUAGACAAGUGUACAACCUCAACUAAUCUACUGAUUUUUCCCCCUUUGUUUUAGAAAAUAAUUGUUUUUCUUGGAACCUCCUGCCCCACUGCUGUCCCCCGAACCUCCUGAAGGUGGCAGCACUAAUGGAUGGACGCACCCAACUUCCGUGGUCUGGAGACUACCGCCUCUCAGUGCGUGGAGACUGUGCGGUUUGCCAGCUCUCCAGCAGACGCCUGUGUCCCUUUUCCAGUGCAGGCCACUGCUACCUGAGACAGCUGACAGGCUGACCUGCACAGGGGCCAAAGAUCUUCGUGCCCGUAGAUAAACAGGCAAAGAAAAAAAAUCACACUCCACAAGGAGUUGAACACGCCAGGCAGAGGAAAUGAAGAUGCAAAAAAGACAUUUAAUUUCUUUUUUUUAAAGACAUUUAAUUUCUUAAAAAAAGAAGUGUUAAAGAGAUACAGUAGAAUGUAAAAAGACUUUCUUUUUUUUCCUUUUUUAAAAGUGGACCCCAUGCCCAACGUGGGUCUUGAACUCACAACUCUGAGAUCAAGAGUCAGAUGCUCUACAGACUGAGCCAGCCGGGUGCCCCUAAAAAGACCUUCUGCAGCCAUAAAACAUGAUUUCUGAAUUGAAAAUUCAACAGAGAAAUGGGAAAAGAGAAGAGUCACUGUGAGAUCUAAUUUGUUUCCUGCACAAAAUGUAUUCAUUAAGGAAGUAAUUACUGAGCACCUGUCAUGUGCCAGGCACUGCUCUGUACAAAAUGGAAGAAAACAUAACACAAAUACAGAGCAAAAACACAAAGAAAUGGAAGCCAUGAUGGGGAUUACGGAGGGCAAUUGUUGUGAUGAGCACCGGGUGUUUUAUGGAAGUGAUGAAUACUGUAUACCUAAAACAAAUAUGACACUGUAUGUUAACUAACUGGAAUUAAAAUAAAAACUUAAAAAUAAAAGAAAACACAAGAGACAUGAAAGGCAGACCUAGAAGAUUUAAUAUACAGAGACUAAGAAGUCCAAAAGGAGAGAGGAAUAUAGAGAGAAGUGAAAAUCAAGAAAUAAGAGAAAAACUUUCUUAAGUUGAAAAGACCUCAAUUUUCUGAGUCUACUUCUAAGAAUAUUCCCUAGAGAAAUUCUUCCAUAAGAGCACCAGGAGACAGAUGAGAGAGCUCACUCUGGUGUGGCUUGUGACAGCCAGAUAUUAAAGACGGUCUACAUGUCCAUCAGCAGGAGAGUGGGUGAGCCUGGUGGUUUGUUCGUGCAAUGGUGUGCUAUACAGGAACUAAG